AACGGUCGUACCAUGCUGAAUAUACCGGUUCUCGUUAGAUCACCGAAGUUAAGCGCGGUCAGUACUUGGGUGGGUGACCACCUGGAAACACUGCGUGCCGUU